rnacentral:lncRNA from 1 species
UUUAUUCUCAUCAUAUUGUAAACCCUAGCCCCCACCUAAACAAAAACACACACAUAACUUGCCUUUAUCGAAUGAGAGAUAGAGAGCCGAAGGAGAGAGAAAGUUGAGAUGCAGGCUGGUGGUCUUCGGCCACAUAGUUACGAAGGCGCCGCAUCAGCAGCUUAUGGUGGCGGCGAUAUGGCGUGGAGCGGUGGUGGUGAGGCUCAGGUGGCGGCGGCAGUUCAGGUGCGUGUGGGGAGGACUGGCUGAUGCGAUGCACUCGAGAUGGUUCUGACUCAAAUCUAGCAGCAACAACCACAAAUCUGAACUCCAUUAGCGUCGGUGUCCCUCUAGCAGCAGCGACUACGGCACCCGUCCUUAGAGCGACGGUGGUGGUGGUUUGAUGAUUCACAAGAGGCAGCGAUGGGGAGUGUCGAGUUCAGAUCGGGUCCUUAUGUGUCAAGGUUUGGAGGCGACAAUAAGUAUUGGUGUUUCUUCAUCCAUAAUUUAAAAUUUCGGUUAUACGGUAGUUACCGGCAACGGAGACGAUCACCAUCCGUCGGUUAGUGGUGAAUAGACGUGACGUU